rnacentral:tRNA from 1 species
UAAACCCCAUUCAGAAGCAGAAGUUCAAGUAUGAAUCUGAAACUUUCUCCGUCAUUCUGGUUCGAGUCCAGGAUGGCCCACCUGAACUCUGGUUCGAGUCCAGGAUGGCCCACCUGAAGAAAGUCUGAAGGAACAAGAAUGAAAGGAGAAAAAGUUUCCAGAUUCAUACUUGACACUUCAUGCUUCUGAAUGGGGGUUUAGCUCAGUUGGUAGAGCGCCUGCUUUGCAAGCAGGAUGUCAGCGGUUCGAGUCCGCUAACCUCCACAUAGAGGAAAAAAUUCAGCAACAGGACGAAAGUCAGACUGCUGGGUGAUAGUCCAGCCAGAACCUGAAAACUGCAAAGUAAAUCCUAGCCAGAACCUUGAAAACUGCAAAUUGAAGAGAAAGUUUCAGAUUCUACUUGACACUUCAUGCUUCUGAAUGGGGGUUUACUCAAUUGG